UACGUAGGGUGCGAGCGUUGUCCGGAAUUAUUGGGCGUAAAGAGCUUGUAGGCGGUUUGUCGCGUCUGCUGUGAAAAUCCGGGGCUCAACCCCGGACUUGCAGUGGGUACGGGCAGACUGGAGUGUGGUAGGGGAGACUGGAAUUCCUGGUGUAGCGGAGGAAUGCGCAGAUAUCAGGAGGAACACCGAUGGCGAAGGCAGGUCUCUGGGCCACUACUGACGCUGAGAAGCGAAAGCAUGGGGAGCGAACAGG
rnacentral:rRNA from 1 species